UACAGAGGGGGGCAAGCGUUGUUCGGAAUUACUGGGCGUAAAGGGCGCGUAGGCGGCCUUCUAAGUCGAACGUGAAAUCCCCGGGCUCAACCCGGGAACUGCGUCCGAUACUGGAAGGCUUGAAUCCGGGAGAGGGAUGUGGAAUUCCAGGUGUAGCGGUGAAAUGCGUAGAUAUCUGGAGGAACACCGGUGGCGAAGGCGACAUCCUGGACCGGUAUUGACGCUGAGGCGCGAA
rnacentral:rRNA from 1 species